UGGGGAGCAGCCCUUUGCAGAACUGGCAUCAGAAUAAGCAUGGGAGCAAGAGCUGGAGCCUGGUCCUUCCACCUCCACAGAGCGAACAUGUGUCACAAGGAACCUGCUAGGACAGUGAAAGAGUUGGAGAUGAGCUGCUGGGGGAGCUGCUGGAUAAAACUGAUUGGCAGACAGAGUUCCAGAAUGAGCAAAUGAAGUAUCAGAAGGGAAACAGAAGUGACCUCCUGGUUCAAAUGCAGCCAUCACAAGCUCUGUCGGAGGAGAGCCAUCUGGUGGAUGAAAGGCCCUUCCAUCUCCACAGAGCAGACACAUGACACAAGGAACCUGGGUGUACAGACUAACCUAUUGCAAGGAAGGAGGAAGCUGAUGGCAGAGAGUGUUCCAGAAUUAGACCACAAGUUUGGCUGAUAAAGAUGCCUCAGAGAAGGGAACUCCUCCUCAUCUAAGGACUGAGUCUUCCAUACUGUUGAUACUUCAUAAUUAAUAAUUAAUUAAAUAGCAACAUAAACAAUGGAUAUCAAAAGGAAAAGUCUACCAAAGUAAUAUCGCUUCAAGAAGUUUCGGUUGCAAUUUGCUAACAGGUGUUUAGUUGUGAGA